rnacentral:rRNA from 1 species
AGAAGCAGCCAUCAUUUAAAGAAAGCGUAAUAGCUCACUGGUCGAGUCGGCCUGCGCGGAAGAUGUAACGGGGCUAAACCAUGCACCGAAGCUGCGGCAGCGACGCUUAGGCGUUGUUGGGUAGGGGAGCGUUCUGUAAGCCGUUGAAGGUGGCCUGUGAGGGUUGCUGGAGGUAUCAGAAGUGCGAAUGCUGACAUAAGUAACGAUAAAGCGGGUGAAAAGCCCGCUCGCCGGAAGACCAAGGGUUCCUGUCCAACGUUAAUCGGGGCAGGGUGAGUCGACCCCUAAGGCGAGGCUGAAAAGCGUAGUCGAUGGGAAACAGGUUAAUAUUCCUGUACUUGGUGUUACUGCGAAGGGGGGACGGAGAAGGCUAGGCUGGCCGGGCGACGGUUGUCCCGGUUUAAGCGUGUAGGGGGUGUGA